GCGGAGCUAGAGCAGCAAUGGCGGCCGGUGGCGGCGGUAGCUGCGACCCCUUGGCCCCGGCGGGGGUCCCCUGCGCCUUCUCGCCGGACAGUCAAGCCUACUUCGCUUUAGCCUCUAGCGACGGUCACUUGCGGGUGUGGGAGACAGCUAACAACCGGCUGCACCAGGAGUACGUGCCUUCCGCGCACCUAAGCGGUACCUGCACCUGCCUGGCCUGGGCGCCAGCCCGGCUGCAGGCCAAGGAAAGUCAUCAAAGGAAAAAAAGGAAAUCAGAAGCUAUAGGAACGAAUGACCAGGCUGACUUGUUGGCUCUUGGUACAGCAGUUGGUAGCAUUUUAUUGUAUAGCACAGUAAAAGGAGAGUUGCACAGUAAAUUAAUAAGUGGUGGGCAUGAAAAAAGAGUCAAUUGCAUACAGUGGCAUCAAGACAAUGACUGCCUGUAUAGUUGUUCAGAUGAUAAGUACAUUGUGGAGUGGAGUACACAGAUGUGCAGAGUGAAGUGCAAAUGGAAAGGAGACAAUAGCAGCGUCAGUUCCCUGUGUAUCAGCCCAGAUGGAAAGAUGUUACUUUCAGCUGGUCGAACAAUCAAACUAUGGGUUUUGGAGACCAAAGAAGUCUACAGACACUUCACAGGACACGCAACACCUGUUUCAUCGCUUAGGUUCACGACCAUCAGACCUAACGAGAGCCAGCCUUUUGAUGGGGUUACAGGCCUUUACUUUCUGUCUGGAGCUGUACAUGACCGAUUACUUAAUGUCUGGCAGGUCCGGUCAGAGAACAAAGAGAAGAGUGCAGUGAUGUCUUUUACAGUCACAGAUGAGCCAGUCUAUAUUGACU
rnacentral:lncRNA from 1 species